UGAAGGAAACAUCUGUGCUGUGUCUGCUCUUUCUGAUCUCACUGCUGAGCUGCACAACAAACCAAGGUCAGUAACCUUCUUCUGUCACAGUUUAAACCUGAGAAAUGCUCACUGAUAUGACCUGAUUGGGUUCAUGUCUGGGAUCCCAAAACUGAUGAAAUGAUGAAAUGAUGAAAUGUUCCUUGAAGAUUUCUUACAGCAUGUAGCAUAACAAAUCAUCAGUUUAUAAUAUUAACUCUCACAGCUCGUCUGACUGUGAGUCCCAGCAGCUCUCAGUUCUUUGAAGGAGACUUUGUGUCUCUGAGCUGUGAGGAGGACGACAGCUCUGCUGGAUGGACUCUGAGGAGAAACACAAGCAAACAACAGAGGACUCAGUGUGGAGAUGGAUGGGGAAAACCAGCUGGUUCUUCCUGUAACAUCAAUAUGAUGGUGCCUCAUGACAGUGGAGUUUACUGGUGUGAGUCCAGAGAGGGUCCCAUCAGUAACAUGGUUAACCUGACAGUCACUGGUGGAUCAGUGAUCCUGCAGAGUCCUGUCCUCCCUGUGA